AGCUCUUCUUACCCACUGUCCCCAAAGCUCAUCUCACACUGGAGUUGUGACAUCAGCACUAUUCUGCCUCUGCUAUACAACAGGCCCUGGAACAUACUCGAACCAUGUAGGUGAUUUGUGUCCCUGUCUCAUCUUUCUUACCAGAAUACCAUCGGAGCUCCUCUGGAACAUGUCCUUGUCUUCUCAGAGUGUGAAGUGUGUGUGUGACAGUGCUUUUCUGAGGACUCAGGUGACCUGGAGGCUGGAGAACAGCAUGGAGCAAGGAAAACAAAGACGAUGUGCUGGAGUGUAUGUUGCUUUCAUAAUUAUGUGAAAGAAAAUGUAGAGAAAUUUGAAAGGAGAACUGGUUAUCAGUAGUGCCAUCCUGCUCAAAUAUCUUCAAAUACACACCACCAUCCAUGUGUGGGUUGAUUAAGGAGCUGACGUUCAUUAGAUCUGCAGUCUCCUGACCUGAUGUGCAUCAGAAUCACUGGGAGAACAAACAAACAAAAAUGAAUCCAAAACAAGCAACGAACAGACAGAUUCUCAAGUCUUGCCAAGUCCAAAGAUUGAUUUGGUGGAGAAAUUGUACUUUGAAAGCUGCCCAGGUAAUAAUUCUGGCAUAUAGCCAGGUUUGUAAAAUCUUGAAUGAACUGUCUUGGGCAAACAAAGGAAUUCUAGUUUUUUAUCUGCCAGCUUUUAAAAAUUUCCCAUCUUUGAAAGGAAAGUGUUACAUUAAUCACAAACUCCCAUGGUCAAGGUGAUAGCAAAACAACACUGUAUUCUGGUUGGAACCUUGGAACAUUCAGACCUUGGAGAGAACAAGCAAAACAUUUUCAUAAUUAUGAUGUCAUGUGGGUUGAAAGCAGAGUCUUGAUUUGGGUUCCGCUGCUGCCCAUAAACAGCUGGGUGGGAAUUUGGGUCAAUCCCUUCACUUCUCUAUAGCUCCCUUUCCUCAUCCCCAAAAUGAGAUGCUUGUUUGAUUUCAGAGUUUCCUGCUAGGUCUACAAUUCUGUGAUUAGCAUCUCUGCUCUCUGGAAUAUUCUUUUAUGUCCGGUGACUUAAAUCAGAUUAUCAAAUAUUUAUUGAACACCUGCUAUGUGUCCAGAAACUGAAAUUAUUUGAAAAAUUGGAUCUGUGGGGGAAAGAAGGGGCUGAGAAGGGACAAAUACUAGUAAAGAGAAAUGGAUGGAGCUCAACAACUAAGAAUUUUUGAACUCUAAUAAAUGUUUCUACUUUCUCGCU
rnacentral:lncRNA from 1 species